rnacentral:rRNA from 1 species
AGGACGAACGCUGGCGGCGUGCUUAACACAUGCAAGUCGAGCGGAAAGGCCCUUCGGGGUACUCGAGCGGCGAACGGGUGAGUAACACGUGAGUAAUCUGCCCCUAGCUCUGGGAUAGCUCCGGGAAACCGGGAUUAAUACCAGAUACGACCACUUUAGACAUCUGUUGUGGUGGAAAGAAUUUUGGCUAGGGAUGAGCUCGCGGCCUAUCAGCUUGUUGGUGAGGUAACGGCUCACCAAGGCGACGACGGGUAGCCGGCCUGAGAGGGCGACCGGCCACACUGGGACUGAGACACGGCCCAGACUCCUACGGGAGGCAGCAGUGGGGAAUAUUGCGCAAUGGGCGAAAGCCUGACGCAGCGACGCCGCGUGGGGGAUGAAGGCCUUCGGGUUGUAAACCCCUUUCAGCGAGGGACGAAGCGAAAGUGACGGUACCUGCAGAAGAAGCGCCGGCUAACUACGCGCCAGCAGCCGC